UAGAAAAAAUACGGAGAAUCUGAAGGUCAUUUUGUGUUUGCUUUUACCCUUUGGAGUUUGCUUUACUUCCCACUCUACAGUCUACACACACUGCCCCAUAACACCUCCACCGUCUGGGUUUCGUUUUCUCUCUUAUUUUCACUCAAACCUUUUCUUUUUUUAUUUUAUUUUUAUCGUGGUUGGUGUGGGGUACCUGAGAUUUUUGACUUUAAAGUCGCUUGAAUUUUGCUCCCUGAAACAUCGUUAAAAGUUUGUAGGUGAAAGAGAGUUAUGGCAGGAGGUGGGGGAGCUCCAGCGCCUAAGGUAGAUGAGCCACAGCCACAUCCACCAAAAGAUCAGCUUCCCAAUGUUUCUUACUGCAUUACGAGUCCUCCUCCAUGGCCUGAGGCCAUACUUCUUGGUUUUCAACAUUAUCUUGUGAUGCUCGGUACAACUGUGCUAAUUCCCACUGCUCUUGUUCCCCAGAUGGGAGGUGGCAAUGAGGAGAAGGCAAAAGUUAUCCAAACACUGCUCUUCGUGGCUGGAAUUAACACAUUGCUGCAAACUCUGUUUGGAACUCGAUUGCCUGCAGUAAUUGGAGGGUCUUAUACUUAUGUUCCAACAACGAUCUCUAUUAUUCUUGCUGGUCGAUUCAGUGAUGAGCCAGAUCCUAUAGAGAAAUUCAAGAGGAUAAUGCGGGCAACUCAAGGUGCUCUUAUUGUUGCUUCAACUCUUCAAAUAGUGCUAGGAUUUAGUGGCCUUUGGCGUAACGUUGCAAGGUUCUUAAGUCCACUUUCAGCAGUUCCUUUGGUAUCUCUUGUUGGUUUUGGGCUUUACGAAUUAGGCUUUCCUGGUGUUGCUAAAUGUGUAGAGAUUGGACUUCCAGCGCUUAUACUGCUAGUAUUUGUUUCACAGUUUGUACCCCAUGUGCUGCAUGCAGGAAAACAUAUCUUUGGCCGUUUUGCUGUUUUAUUUACAGUUGCAAUUGUAUGGCUGUAUGCUUAUAUACUCACUGUUGGAGGGGCCUACAACCAUGCUGCACCUAAAACACAGGCAACCUGCCGAACUGAUCGUGCUGGUUUAAUAGAUGCUGCCCCAUGGAUUAGGGUUCCAUAUCCUUUUCAAUGGGGAGCACCUUCCUUUGAUGCAGGUGAGGCCUUUGCCAUGAUGAUGGCAUCCUUUGUUGCUCUCGUAGAGUCCAGUGGAGCUUUUAUUGCUGUUUACCGGUAUGCAAGUGCAACGCCACUACCACCAUCUAUUCUUAGUCGAGGUAUUGGGUGGCAGGGAGUUGCCAUUCUGUUAUCAGGAUUGUUUGGAACUGGCAAUGGAUCCUCUGUAUCUGUAGAAAAUGCUGGUCUUUUGGCUUUGACUCGUGUUGGCAGUAGAAGAGUGGUGCAAAUAUCUGCUGGUUUUAUGAUUUUCUUUUCAAUUCUCGGUGAGUCGAAGAUGAAAUGUCUGUAAUUUGAAUAUGUAAUUUGCCCGUAACACUUGUAGGUGCAAAUUUCAAUUCUCAGUGAAAAUGUCUGCAUUUCUUCCUGUAACAAUUGCUAAUUUUUCUUUGUGUGUAGGGAAAUUUGGAGCAGUUUUUGCCUCUAUUCCACCUCCCAUUGUUGCUGCAUUGUACUGCUUGUUCUUUGCUUAUGUUGGAGCGGGAGGUCUAAGUUUUCUUCAAUUCUGCAACCUAAACAGUUUUAGAACAAAGUUUGUUUUGGGUUUCUCUAUCUUCCUUGGCUUGUCUAUACCACAGUACUUCAAUGAGUACACAGCAAUUGAUGGUUAUGGUCCAGUUCACACAGGAGCAAGAUGGUCAAAAGCAUUUGUUGCGGGUUGUUUGGCAUAUUUCCUAGAUAACACACUACAUAAGAAGGAGGGUGCUAUUCGGAAAGAUAGAGGAAAACAUUGGUGGGACAAGUACCGGUCCUUCAAGACUGACACAAGAAGUGAGGAGUUUUAUUCACUGCCUUUCAACCUAAACAAAUAUUUCCCAUCUGUGUAAUUGUGCAGCUGAAGUAAUAUAUAGGUGGUUUCAUCACCCAUAGUCUCUGAAAUGUCGUAAUUUGACUUUUUCUAAUAUGAGAUUGGAUCUUAUUAUAGGUGAUAGUUAUAUCAAGUCCUUUUUUGCUAUAUAGAAUAUUCUGAAACAUUUGUUUUAUUGCUUUUCAUUCUGUAAAUGCUGACCUGGAAAUGGAUCCAUGAUAAUGUUCACUUUUAUAAUCU